CCAGUCUCUGACAGUGCCCAGUACAAGCUGCUUUGGAGAAAGAAACCUUAGGGAACUAAGCACCAAAAAAGGAGCAGGAUUGCAGGAGACAAUUCUUAACUCCCGGAGACCAUUUGCAGCUAAGGAUCCCGAGUGGAAGAAGGAAUCUAUCUGUGGCUCAUCAGCCAGUCACAGCAGGUCCAGAGACUCUGGUAGAGGACAGGAGCCAAAAAAGCAGAAAGGAAUAGGGAGAAGCUACAGCCUGCCAUCAAUUCUUGAAUGUAAUGCCUGAAAUGUGAAAGUUGUCUUCAUCAUUAAAGGGAUAGAUAAGCUGUAGUGUAUAUAUACACAUGUAUCUCUAAGUCUAGAUCUAGCUCUGUUUUAUAAGUUCAAGAACUAAAAACUGAGUAGCAAGGCAAUGAUAAAAUGAUUCUAGGUUAGGAUUCUGAUGACAUCAUAAAGAAUAUGAGCCCUUGUAGUUUAUGAUCUCACUAGAAACCCUUGUUGCAGCUAUUUACUAGCUGUUCCCAUUCCAGGACUGAACAUGAAGUGUGGCUAGCUUAAUCCUGGGUCUUAAACAGAACCUGCCAAAUUUGAUUAGAUCAAGCCAGUUUCCAACUGAAAGUUACAUAGCGUAUUAGUCCAUCCACAAGUAAUAGGUCUGCUGCCAGCCCUGGAGCCAAGAUACCACUGAGAACCUUUUCUUCUAAAAGUGGAAUCUUAUCCCUCACUGCUAAAUGACUCCGAAAAUGGUCCAGCAUAUUUUCUUGGAUU